AGUUUUUACCGAGCCACGACAUGCAAUAAGCACCGAAAUGGUACGUGCAAAUAUAUAUUAUAUAUUUCAAAUAAAAUGAUGAGCAAAAGGCAUUUGCGUAGACUCCGUAAGAGUGAAAGGGAAGCUAACAUUGCAAAGUUAGCGUUGUGCAGGAAAGAUAACAGAUAACAGCAAGGAAAUCGAUUCUCCAGCCAGCUGGCGUUUUGAGCGGCUUAAACUUUAUUUUGAGUGAGGAAAUUGUUCUAGCCUAUAACGUCGAUGGGGUCCAAGGGAAGAAGGCCCUUAGGACCCACAACGAAUUUUUUGCAGCUUUGCUAGAAUGUAUUCCGCCUGGCGAUGAGCCCCCCGAAAACACUGUGCGAAAGGCAAUGCAAAGGAUGAAGAAAAGGGUUUUUAAGAAGUGUCUUGCCAAAAACCAGGAGUAGGCUAAGCAUCAUAAAAUUAAAAAUUAUUCGUUAUAAUGAAAGACAUUGUGUUUUUAUUUUUGUAUUAUU